rnacentral:rRNA from 1 species
UACGUAGGGUGCGAGCGUUUGUCCGGAAUUAUUGGGCGUAAAGGGCUCGUAGGCGGUCUGUUGCGUCAGGAGUGAAAACACGGGGCUCAACUCCGUGCCUGCAGUCGAUACGGGCAGACUAGAGUUCGGUAGGGGAGACUGGAAUUCCUGGUGUAGCGGUGAAAUGCGCAGAUAUCAGGAGGAACACCGGUGGCGAAGGCGGGUCUCUGGGCCGGUACUGACGCUGAGGCACGAAGGUCAGGGGAGCAAACGGG